UGCUACUAGGAAGGAUUUAAAUCCGUAUCUGUUUUUGUCCUAUUUUCUACCUUGUCUAUAAUUGUAUUUUAAUUGCACUUGUUUAGAAUAACAGUCAUGUUUGCAGACUUUAUUGGUGUUAUUGCUCGUAAUUGAGCAGAGUUUCGUUUUGAUUCGCAGCCAUUCACGGGCUUUAGGCUUUUGCAGUGCUAAUUUGCAAGGUGGGCGUAGCUGUUUUCAAUCACGUGUUAAUAAGCUGUAUAUUUAUUGUGUGUGUGCGCGCUGUCACUGUCAGCGGGAGCAUUCAGCCUCCUUGUGUGAAGACCGACUUGGGUAAAGACCUGCGACUCCACGGAGCAACAACACCGUUUCAAUGUACAUUUGGUUUGGAGCUGUGCACAUACAGCAAUGAAGAGAAGAAUGACAUCUCAGCCUGUGAGAGGGACCAAACAACAUUGAUCAUCAAAUGAAUCCCCCCAUCCUCCCCACCACCACCAGGUCGGUCCCUGUCCAUACAUCAGGGGUAGUCUCCACCCCUGCCUUCAUCUUCAGGCAGGAACUGCAAGUAUCUGCUACCCUUUGGAUUUGGACUAUGGACAGGGCCUACGCCAAAGAACUUCAUCAUUUCAUCUUUAUGUAACUAAUUUGCAUACUAUCUGUUAAAUAAAUCUUAUUCAAACGUU